rnacentral:rRNA from 1 species
GAUGAACGCUGGCGGCGUGCUUAACACAUGCAAGUCGAACGAAGCACUUUAUUUGAUUUCCUUCGGUACUGAUUAUUUUGUGUCUGAGUGGCGUACGUGUGAUUAACUCGAGGGUAACCUGCCUUGUACAGGGGGGUGACAGUAGGAAACGGCUGCUAAUACCGCAUAAGCGCACAGCAUCGCAUGAGGCAGUGUGAAAAGCUCGGGUGGUAUAGCAUGGACCCGCGUUGGUUUUGCUAGGUGGUGGGGUAACGGCCCAGCAAGGCGACGAUGCAUAGCUGAGCUGGGAGGGUGACCGGCUGCGUUGGGACUGAGACACGGCCCAAACUCCUACGGAGGGCAGCAGAGGGGAAUAUUGCACAAUGGGCGAAAACCUGGUGCAGCGACGCCGCGUGAGCGAAGCAGUAUUUCGGUAUGUAAAGCUCUAUCAGCAGGGAAGAUAAUGACGGUACCUGACUAAGAAGCACCGGCUAACUACGUG